rnacentral:rRNA from 1 species
UACGGAGGGUGCAAGCGUUAAUCGGAAUUACUGGGCGUAAAGCGUGCGUAGGUGGUUCGUUAAGUCCGUUGUGAAAGCCCCGAGCUCAACUUGGGAAUUGCAGUGGAUACUGGCGAGCUAGAGUGCGGUAGAGGAAGGUGGAAUUCCCGGUGUAGCGGUGAAAUGCGUAGAGAUCGGGAGGAACACCAGUGGCGAAGGCGGCCUUCUGGACCAGCACUGACACUCAAGCACGAAAGCGUGGGAAGCAAACAGGG